rnacentral:rRNA from 1 species
AACGAACGCUGGCGGCAUGCCUAACACAUGCAAGUCGAACGAAGUCUUCGGACUUAGUGGCGCACGGGUGCGUAACGCGUGGGAAUCUGCCCUUGGGUACGGAAUAACUCAGAGAAAUUUGUGCUAAUACCGUAUAAUGUCUUCGGACCAAAGAUUUAUCGCCCAAGGAUGAGCCCGCGUAAGAUUAGCUAGUUGGUGGGGUAAAAGCCUACCAAGGCGACGAUCUUUAGCUGGUCUGAGAGGAUGAUCAGCCACACUGGGACUGAGACACGGCCCAGACGCGUACGGGAGGCAGCAGUGGGGAAAAAAUGACAAUGGGCGAAAGGCUGAACCAGCGAUGCCGCGUGGGUGAUGAAGGCCCUAGGGUUGUAAAGCUCUUUUACCAGGGAUGAUAAUGACAGUACCUGGAGAAUAAGCUCCGGCUAACUCCGUG